rnacentral:rRNA from 1 species
GACAGAGGGUGCAAACGUUGUUCGGAAUUACUGGGCAUAAAGCGCGUGUAGGCGGCCAUCUAAGUCGGGCGUGAAAUCCCACGGCUCAACCGUGGAAGUGCACUCGAAACUGGAUGGCUAGAGUCCUGGAGAGGAAGGUGGAAUGCUUGGUGUAGAGGUGAAAUUCGUAGAUAUCAAGCGGAACACCGGUGGCGAAGGCGGCCUUCUGGACAGUGACUGACGCUGAGACGCGAAAGCGUGGGGAGCAAACAGG